UACGAAGGGGGCUAGCGUUGUUCGGAUUUACUGGGCGUAAAGCGCACGUAGGCGGAUCGAUCAGUCAGGGGUGAAAUCCCAGAGCUCAACUCUGGAACUGCCUUUGAUACUGUCGAUCUGGAGUAUGGAAGAGGUGAGUGGAAUUCCGAGUGUAGAGGUGAAAUUCGUAGAUAUUCGCAAGAACACCAGUGGCGAAGGCGGCUCACUGGCCCGAUACUGACGCUGAGGCACGAAAGCGUGGGGAGCAAACAGGG
rnacentral:rRNA from 1 species